rnacentral:lncRNA from 1 species
GCGAAAAUGAAAACACGGUGAAAUAUUCAAUUACUUUAUUCAACUGCUGGUGGCAUAUCGACAUGAGUCGUCGAAUCCAUUAACUAAAUCAUGCAAGCAUAAGACAAUAAUACAAAACUCUAUUUUCAUACUUUCAUAGCUACCAAUAUAAUCCCAACGGUUCAUAAAGCGCGGUACCUUAUAAUCACAUACAGGAUUGUGGCGAAAUCUUACUGGACUCAAGAAAUCUAACAGCAAUAAAAUAACACCAACUCCAAUCCACAAUUUCAACAAAAUUACGUUUUAAACAUACACUCAAACAGACAUUCAAAUCAGAUCCGCAACUCGGCAUAUGCACAACAAAAAUUGAAAUGAUCAUAAACACACAACCAUAAUCAACAUACUAGUUUCAACCUACGAUUUCGUCAAAAUUGUACAUGAAAUGAAAAUGAAAUUGUCACAACAGCACACAACAACAAUAGAUUGGAAGAAACUUGAAGUUGUUACCGAAACGUGGUCCUUUGUUACUACAAAUCGUUGAUGGUGCUGUUUGAGUUUGUUGUUAAGGCAGCUGGGGAACGUUGUUGUUGUUUUUAUACGCCAAAUCCAACUGAUAUAAAAACCAGUAACUACCAACAACAUCAAAUAAACCAAAGAACGCAGCACCCUUGUCGAAUGUACAUAGAUCGCGCGAGANNN